AUGUAAAAUGACUCUCGGCAACGGAUAUCUCGGCUCUUGCAUCGAUGAAGAACGUAGCGAAAUGCGAUACUUGGUGUGAAUUGCAGAAUCCCGUGAACCAUCGAGUCUUUGAACGCAAGUUGCGCCCAAAGCCAUUAGGCCGAGGGCACGCCUGCCUGGGUGUCACAC
rnacentral:rRNA from 3 species